ensembl:lncRNA
AUGAGCCCAGAAUAUUGUAACGGACUGGCAAUUGUUAACCAGAUAUAUGAAGUCUGUAUUGCAUUGACCCUUUUUUUUUGUACAGAGCAGCUAAAGGACUUUUAUUAUGAAAUUAACUUAAUGCGCAAAUUGGACCUGUAUAAAGAGCGACACAUUUCCGCUGUUUGUGUGUGUGCGCUUUGUGAAGGACGCAGCCUGCAGUUUGACGUCUUUUUCUUCCUUUUAUUGUACUUGUGCGUCUCACUGAAAAAGGGAAAUAAGUUCUUACGGUGUCUACUUGAAUGUCAACGUAUUAAACAUUUUUGGAAACAUCAGUUAAGGAGCAAAAGACCAUCAUUUCAGUGGGGUAGCAACAAAUAUAAACACAAUGUGCAAGUUUCACGUUUAAUGGCUGCCCAUAGAAAACCAUUAUAAGGAAAACACUGAACCAUUAAGCGGAUUGCAUUCAUAUUCCGACCUCAUCUGCUGGCCUAUGUGAACUAUGCAUCAUUAAUAUAGUGAUUACUGAAUUUGAUCUUUUAACAUUACUGUUUUAAAUAUAUUAAGGCACUUAUACAAGUCGCACUGUUUAAUGAUUGAAAUAUGGCCGCGGGUGCUUAAUGUGGAUUGCAAAUGGCCAAAACUUGCAAUUUGCUCACAUAGGCCUACCUUUGUUUUAUUCUUUUGAGAGGUGAUCCAAAUAUAAGUGGCUGUGAAACAGAUAGAAAAUUGAUAGGCUUGUGCUGCAGUUCUAUGGAUGUUUUGCCCUCCAGGUGCAAGUUCAAGAUCAAACCGGUGCGCAACGUUUUGCUACGGUUUCCGGUUUGAAAGAUAUGUUUCCUUGAAACGGUGUGCAACGGGUUUGAGAUACGUUUUCUCUUGUUUGGUGGGUGUGUCAAAAUGUCAGCCCAAUCAGCAGCAAAAUGUAUAUAAACCACUCAUUAAGGUUUUUUUUAUUUUUUUAUUUUUUUUUUACAAGAGCAAGUAUAUUGUUAGUACGUUUAUUUACAUUAAAGGCAAAAUAACUGAAAUAAUAAGAGCACAAGUAUAGAUCUGGAAAAUCUUUUGUCUAAAUAUCAUUUAGUAAUUGCAAUGUCCAUAUCCUUUCCUUAUACUCACUUAUACGCCUAAUACUCACAAUUAAAAUAAUAAAGUCAUAUAGAUAAUAACA